rfam:Tupaia chinensis contig60554, whole genome shotgun sequence.
AGCUUUGCGCAGUGGCAGUAUCGUAGCCAAUGAGGUUUAUCCAAGGCGUGAGUAAUGCUAAUUGAAAACUUUUUGUGCCAAAAUGUACUCAUUGUUUAAUCACAUUUUUAAUGAACUUUUUAAACUCUCCUCAUAAUAGUGG